rnacentral:rRNA from 1 species
UACGUAGGGACCAAGCGUUGUUCGGAUUUACUGGGCGUAAAGGGCGCGUAGGCGGCAAUUCAAGUCAGUUGUGAAAUCUCCGAGCUUAACUCGGAACGGUCAACUGAUACUGUUUUGCUAGAGUACAGAAGGGGCAAUCGGAAUUCUUGGUGUAGCGGUGAAAUGCGUAGAUAUCAAGAGGAACACCUGAGGUGAAGACGGGUUGCUGGGCUGAUACUGACGCUGAGGAGCGAAAGCGUGGGGAGCGAACAGG